ensembl:lncRNA
GGUAUUUUUUCCCUCAAUGUGACUCUGUUUCUCCCCAGUGUUACAAAUUUUAGCAAGUCAGUAAAAUUACUCCAGGAUCCACUUAAUGACACAACAGGCUGAAACUACUUUUUUUUUUUUUUUUUUUCUGUCAUCUGCCACUCUGACCUUUCUGAUGUUUGAAUCUUGAAGUGCAGCUGCCAGAACAGACCAAGCCUGUGUGCCCACCCAGUUGGGAAGGUGAGGAAAAUGCUGGGAGCAGAGUCUAUCCCAAGCUAUAAUUGUGAUACUGCUGUUUCUUACAGUUUCUAGCAGUUGAAGUGUAGUGGGCACUCAGGACCUGUGUAAUGCUUCCCAGCUCAAUUGUGCCUCCUAAAGUGGUGACAGAGGAGAGGAGUAAAUGCCACUCAAAGAAAGAUCUCCUUUUAUUAGGCCUGACUCAGGGGAAUUAGGGGAAUCCUUACAGAGCCCGGUUCCAAACUCUUCCCUUCCUGCAUUGCCCACUGGUCAUGGCAGCAGUGCAAGCAUGGGACAGAUGUGGCAGCAAAUCCACUAGCCCUCUCUGAAGCUCAGGAGGUCACAAUUUCCCAAAGUGUGGCAUUCUGGUGUACUCUAAAACCCCUGGAAGCUGAAGGGAAGAGCCGAGUGCUUUGCUUUCUGUCUACCUAGUGAAGCUCACAGGGCAUCCCUCCACCGCUGCUGUUUGUUCAUGAAUUUGUAAUUUCUUCCAAGGCAGGGAUCUCCACCCAUCCACCCAUCCACCCAUCCACCCAUCCACCCAUCUCCUUCCCUCCCCUUCCAUCCCACCUCUCUCCAUUGUUGCUGCCUCUCCUACCACCGCUGUUUAAUGGUGCCUCAGAGCUCUGUGCUGGGACUCUGCCAGCAGAAUUUAAAUCUCGUUUUGCCACGUCUGUUUCCCUUGGGCAGAGGAAAAUACUGGGGUGUCUGUUCCCCCCAGUUUUUGCGGCCUCUUGUGCUGAGCUGGAAGCGUGAGGUCAUUUUGGUUUUGUUUAUACCUAGUGCAUUGUCAGGGACUAGGGACUGGUGUAGGACUGGUGUUGCUCAGGUCUUACAGGACCCUGAUGCAGUAAGGGCUGUUCAGGGUGUAUGUCUGGGUGUCCCAUUUAUUUCUUGCAUUUAGGGUGUGCCUUAAAGCCUCUGGAACCUAAAGAGGGCAACAGGAUGCAAAGCAAACCUUGCCCAUAAACACUUGGCUCUUCCUGCAGCUCAUCUGGAGGGUCCGUGCUUGGAGGAAUGGGGGUGUUGAAGGUCUCCAUUCCUACAGAACCACUUGGGAAGGCAAAAGAAAACUAAAUUUCCUGCUAAAUCACAAAAACCUAAAGCUGUGCACCAAAAUAGCCCCAGUGGCACAGAAGCACCAGGCAGGGAUUAGAAUUAGGGAUUUACCAGGUCACCUAACAGGCUCCUCCUUUUGAAUUGCCUGUGCCACACUGGUGCCUCUGGGUUUGCAGCAUUUCAAAGGGCCCUGGGAUGAGGGACAGUGACUUGCCAAAAGGUGAGCUGGGCUCGGGUCUGGUGCUGUUUCACAUAAUGAGGGCAAAAUUGCACAUGGGGAGAGCAUUUAGAAGGAGGUAAAAAUAAACCCACUAAAUAUUUGGUAAACCUGUAGCUGCUCAAAAUGCUGAUGGCUUGAUUAUUUGUCUUUGUCUAGUUAAAUGCUGGGGUUUUUUAAUCUUUUGCUACCAAAUGACUGAUCUCAAAGAGGCUUACAGUAAAAAAAAAUACAUAUUUAAUUUGGAAAAGUCUUGCAGGGAGGAAUGUAUUUUUGCUGGUUUGCACAAUAAAAGAGCAAACCACUUUUCAUUCUUGCCUGAUUUCAAAGACAGAAAAUUGUCAUUUUGCCAUGAAAGGCUGUUUUUGCUGACACAAUUGGUAGUUUAGCUCUGCUUUGAUUUCCUAUUCUAAAUAUGUUGCAAGAUUAUAGGGUGCAUCCCAAGAAAUAUUCAGCAAUUUUUUUCCUUUUGAAUUGCUUAAAAAUUAAGAUAAUGAUUAUGAACAUGGCAUAAGUCUAUGCAAGAUGUAUUUUGUUUCCCUCUCCUUGACACUCAGUGUGUGCACUCUUGGGAUGAUAUUUUACUAAAGGACAGCAAUUCUGGGAGGAUAUUUUGAGUGCAUCAGUAAUUAAUUCAAAACUAAACCUGAGACCAGAGUCUCAACUGGUGUAAGUCAAUGUCAUUCCAUGGAAGUCAGUAAAUCCAUGCCAGUUUGUCCAAGAUGGAGAUGUGCCCUGUGGUUAUUUUCUCCAUCUGUCCAUAGCACGGAGCUGGUUUUGCCACCACAGGUAAAAUUUAUAUGUAUACGAGGAAGAGAAGAGGGGUUCAGUCAUUUAAAAUUAUGAGGGGGCUCUAAAUUUAGAUACUUGCCCCUCCAAAACAGGCAGAGACAGCUAACUGUGAUUGAGAUCAUCUCAUGUAUUGAUGGCUAUGUAUUUCCUCAAUGGUUUCCCAGCAAUACCUUGCUCUGGAAAACAUCACCCAUUUCUGCUUCAGCUGGAGCUGGUUUGGGACAGGCUGAGCCUCUCAGUAGCUCCCCUCAAACCACCUUGCCAGUGAGCACAGGUUGUGCUGCUCAGCAUGGCCACAACAAUUUCUUUUUUAAUUGAAAAGGUGUUGCUGAGGCAGCAGGGACCACUCUGGUCUCCCUCCUCCCCAGCUGUAAGGACCUGUGACAGAAAGUGGAUGCACUACACAUUUUUUUACUUUCCCAGUUUCUCAGUGAAUCAGGAAUAAGAAUUAUUUUUACAGAUGGAAAACAUAUCUUUCUUAAAUCUUAUUUGUACCAAUGAUAAAUCUGUUUUGGUAUUUCCAGCAUGACCCUUGCAAAGGAAGAAAAGACAAGGACGUACAUCCAGUAAGGGAGAUUGGGAGCCCGAGAAAUGCUACUGGAUUAUAACAGGAAAUGUAGAGUCAAGGUAGAGGUACAGGCCCAUUGGAAAUACCUCUGUUACCAUGGCAUUAAAUUAACCUUGAGGUUUCACAAGUUCAUUACAUGCAGCUGUUUACAUUGGCUUUUUAUGAGAGGUUUUAUUCAGGGUGAAAUCCAUAACUGUACUAUUUAUACAGGCAAGGAACCCGUCGUGGUGAGGGUUGGGGUUUUUUGCCUACUUAUUGAUGGCAAAUGCUUGAAAAUGUGUUGCAGAUCGAAAAGUAAAAAAAAAUACAGCUUUUGUUUAUAUGGAGUCACUCUUGCAAAUGUCAUGUUUGCAUAUUUUGAAAUUAAAAAUCAAUACACCAUUACAUAUCAAGAAAGAAUAUUUCACAGCAUCUGUUGUAAAAAGGUUAUGGAUUUCCUCAUUAGCAGCUGGCUUGGAAUGGAGUGAGAAGGAAUGGGGCUGUUGGCAGGGCACUUUGGGGAUGUGCUGCUGAGCCUGGGGUUGGGAAGACUAAUAGCCCUCUGCUUUUGGGAGAUUGGUCACUCUCUGAGUUGGUGCCUUGUAUAUCCCUUCUCAGGCCAAAUCAGAACUGCUUGUUCUUGUUGUACUUUAUGUACCAGGUAGGGGAUUAGUAUUUUUUCUUGUAAGUAGCUACUGAUGCUAAUUUUCCAGGACAGAGCUAGAGGAAUGAGUCUUAAAUCCAUUAAAAAAAAAAAAAGAAAAAAAAAAAAAAA